rnacentral:rRNA from 1 species
UCAAAGUCGUGGGAUCCUUCGGGACCACGAGCCUCGGGAGCGGACUAGCUCCGAUUAGCUUGUUGGUGGGGUCACGGCCUACCAAGGCGAUGAUCGGUAGCCGGCCUGAGAGGGUGUUCGGCCACACUGGGACUGAGACACUGCCCAGACUCCUACGGGAGGCUGCAGUCGCGAAUCUUCCACAAUGGGCGCAAGCCUGAUGGAGCCACGCCGCGUGCAGGACGAAGGCUUUAGGGUUGUAAACUGCUGUCGAGAUGGGGGAAGGGCGUACGGUGAAUAGUCGUGCGCUUGACUGCCAUCUGAAGGAAGCACCGGCUAAACACGUGCCAGCAGCCGCGGUAAUACGUGUGGUGCAAGCGUUGUUCGGAAUUACUGGGCAUAAAGGGUGCGUAGGCGGCCCGUUAAGUCAGGGGUGAAAGCCGUUGGCCCAACCAACGAAUUGCCUCUGAUACUGAUGGGCUCGAGUGUGCUAGGGGUGAGCGGAACGAGUGGUGUAGCGGUGAAAUGCGUAGAUAUCACUCGGAAGGCCGGAGCCGAAGGGGGCUCACUGGGGCACAACUGACGCUGAUGCACGAAAAGCGUGGGGAGCAAACAGGAUUAGAUACCCUGGUAGUCCACGCCGUAAACGUUGAGCACUAGGUGGAUGGAUGCUCAUGUCUGUCUGCUGUAGAUAAUCUGCUAAGUGCUCCGCCUGGGGAGUAUGGUUGCAAGGCUGAAACUCAAAGGAAUUGACGGGGGCUCACACAAGCGGUGGAGGAUGUGGUUUAAUUCGAAGCAACGCGAAGAACCUUACCAGGCCUUGACAUGCUGGGAUUAUCCGGGUGAAAGCUCGGUGAUUGCCGUUCAGGUGUAACCAGCACAGGUGCUGCAUGGCUGUCGUCAGCUCGUGCCGUGAGGUGUUAGGUUAAGUCCUUUAACGAGCGAAACCCCUACGGUUAGUUGCCAGCGCGUAAUGGCAGGGACUCUAGCCGGACUGCCGCGUUGAACUUGGAGGAAGGUGGGGACGACGUCAAGUCAUCAUGGCCCUUAUGGUCUGGGCUACACACGUCCUACAACGGGUGGUACAGAGGGUUGCGAAGCCGCGAGGUGGAGCUAAUCCCCAAAGCCACCCUCAGUUCAGAUUGCAGGCUGCAAUUCGCCUGCAUGAAGCCGGAAUCGCUAGUAAUCGCGGGUC